rnacentral:lncRNA from 1 species
CCAAAUUGCAGCCGUCGCGAGUCUCUCCACUGCCAAUACCAAACCCCCUCUGACCUUCUCCGACCCACACACACCACGCAACAACAAACACCAAAUCCCAACUCCGCUUCCUCCUCGCCGCCGCCGCCGCCAGAUCUGGGGGUUUCCCCCUUUUUACCCCACCGCCACCUCUGCCUUCUCCGACCCACACACACCACGCAAGGAUUGUGGCUUAAGAUCUGGGGAUUUCUUCCCAUUUGAUAUAGAUUUUCCCUCACCACUCCUUCGAUUUCAUCCGGCUCGACACCGAUUUUGGAAGGUUGGAGGCGGAGAAGGAUGUGGGGGAUUUGGGGGUUUUGCAAAUUUGGGGAUUUGUGUGGUGUUUGUGUCGUGGUGUGGUGGUGGAAGGUGGCGGUUGAGUGGAGGUGGAAGAGGGGAGGCAGGGCCGUAGCUGCCG